UGUCAUAUGUGUGAUGACACUUUCUAAAGUCUUCCAGAAUGACACCACAUAUAUGGCAGC
rnacentral:pre_miRNA from 1 species